CGCUGGCGGCGUGCUUCAUACAUGCAAGUCGAACGAGAAUCUCUAGCUUGCUAGAGAGGAAAGUGGCGGACGGGUGAGUAAUGUGUAGAGAAUCUGCCCUUUAGAGGGGGACAACAGUUGGAAACGACUGCUAAUACCCCAUAUGAGCGUACCUGAAAUGGUAUUCUUGAAAAACUCCGGUGCUAAAGGAUGAGUCUGCACCUGAUUAGCUAGUAGGCGGUGUAAUGGACCACCUAGGCGACGAUCAGUAGCUGGUUUGAGAGGAUGAUCAGCCACAAUGGGACUGAGACACGGCCCAUACUCCUACGGGAGGCAGCAGUAGGGAAUUUUGCGCAAUGGGGGAAACCCUGACGCCAGCAACGCCGCGUGAAUGAAGAAGCCCUUCGGGGUGUAAAGUUCUGUCAGUGGGGACGAAACUUGACGGUACCCACAGAGGAAGCAUCGGCUAACUCCGUGCCAGCCGCAGC
rnacentral:rRNA from 1 species